UACGUAGGGGGCUAGCGUUGUCCGGAAUCAUUGGGCGUAAAGCGCGCGUAGGCGGCCCGGUAAGUCCGCUGUAAAAGUCAAAGGCUCAACCUUUGAAUGUCAGUGGAUACUGCCGGGCUAGAGUCCGGAAGAGGCGAGUGGAAUUCCUGGUGUAGCGGUGGAAUGCGCAGAUAUCAGGAGGAACACCAAUCGCGAAGGCAGCUCGCUGGGACGUUACUGACGCUGAGACGCGAAAGCGUGGGGAGCAAACAGG
rnacentral:rRNA from 1 species